CAAUCUCCUGACCUUGUGAUCCGCCCUCCUCGGCCUCCCUAAGUGCUGGGAUUACAGGUGUGAGCCACUGCACCUGGCUGGGACCUUUUCUAAUAUGUUUUUUUCUCUAUAUGAGCUGUAAGGUUUCCAGGCAUUUUCAGGUUUUCUUGUACAGAGAUUCAUCUUAAUUAAACACACUUUGAAGUGAUAAUGCCUCUUAAUCCGUUUGUCACUGUUAUCUGCAUUUCACUGCUUUGGUGGCAGUUUUGCAUGCUUUUAACUGGAGCCAUCAGACAUCAGGACCAGAUGUAUCUGAGACACUAAAACAUAAUGUGAUAAGAUGAAAUGUAUGAAGAACACAACUGCACACACAAAUGCUUUUGCUGUGGUAGUGCUACAAGUUUAUGCCCCACAAACAGAAAUUCUGACAAACCCUACUUCUUUUGAUUACCAGCAGCAGACCUGGCUUGGAGGGAGGGUGGCUGACAGGAGGCAGAAGUCAUGGUGGACACUACCUUGUGUGACUGAGAUCCUUGCUUACCUACUCCAUCUGGCCCAAGGGCUCAUGCAGGAAGGCUCAAGGCAUCUGCUCUGAGCCUCACAGCCUUGGCCAUCAACCCAGCCCUGAGCUCCCACUUGCCCUGACUGGCUGGGCAGCCCUUCCCCGCUGCCCACCUGGAAGGAGCCACCAGGGACACAAUGCCAGCUCCCUGUCCUGCUCCUUCUCGUCCACUCAGAGGGGUGGAAAGAGGAUCCUACAGCGGCAAGCCCCCCACAAAUCACCAGUCAGGGGUUCAAGUCCCCACUUGUGAAUAUCACAGGGAGAGUGGCCCAGCAGACCCCUGAGUGGCAUCGUCAUCAAGGGUUGGAGGAUCCCAGGUUAGCAGCAGUGGGAGGGAGACCAGCGAGUGCCAACAACCCAGCGUGAAGAGCACAACUCACUUGCUACACUGGCAAACCCUUGGAUGAGCCCACAGUUCCUUCCAACAAGUCCGGUUUUCCCCAAACACCUUUCUGAUGCAUACUGUAGGAUGAUUUAUCCUCCUUAGUGAACUUGACAUAGACGACACCGUGUGAUGGUUAACGUCAGGUGUCCAUUUGGCUGGAUUAAAGAAUACCUAGAGAACUGGUUAAGCAUUAUUUUGGGGCAUGCCUGUGAGGGUGUUUGCAGAGGAGAUUGGCAUGAGUUUGAGUGGACGAGGGGGGGAAGAUCUGCCCUCGAUGUGUGUGGGUGCCAUCCAAUUGGAUGAAGGCCCGAAUAGAACAAACAGAAAAGAUAAAUUGGUUGCUGUCUCUCCUAGAGCUGGAAUACACUGUUCUCCUGCCCUUGGACAUAAAAACUCAAGGCUUUCCUGACGUAGGACUCCAGGACUUACACCAGCAGCCCACCAAGAUCUACGUCUAUAUAUCUAUAUUCCAUUAGCCCUGUCUCUCUGGAGAACCCUGACUAGUACAGAGAGGAUCACGAGUAAGCAAGCAGGGCACUGACCUUGGAUGGGCCACUUGACCUCACAGGGGUCUGGUUUUCUGGAGACAAACACCACACAGUGAUGGAGAGAACCUCGUGACAGAGCCUUGCCCAGGUGCACGUGGGGCGGAGUUCAUCACAGCGCUGGCUGGUUUGUUGAAAAGGAGGCCCGGCGGCUGUUCACUGUCUUGACAAACAGCCAGAGAGGCAGGGGAACCCUACACUGUAUACUUUUCUCAGUAAUAAACCAAGCUAUUCAUGAAUAAUGUCCAGAGUGUGUCCUCAAAACAGCGUGGCCCUCAUGGUGCUCAAUGCCCUGUUAGACUCCAAGCAACCCGAGGACAGGGUUUUGUGUCUCUCUUGCUCACCUUUGCUUCUCCAAUGCCCAGUGGGCCUUCAGGGCGCAUUUGCUGAGUGACUCCACAUUAUUCCAUAUUCACGGUAGAAUCUGUUGCAUAAGGUCAGGAUAAGUCCGCACAGUUACUUGCAACGUGGCUCUUUCAACUGUUAGCAGGUUCUGGACUCCAAAGCCUACAUAAUGUUAUGUGAGGUUGAGAGGAAAAUCAUAAGCAUACUUGCAACCUAUAGGACUCAGGUAGUAAGCUUAUCCUGGGGGUGGAAACCCCCACUGCCAAGAGUCC
rnacentral:lncRNA from 1 species